rnacentral:rRNA from 1 species
GUGGGGAAUAUUGGACAAUGGGCGAAAGCCUGAUCCAGCCAUGCCGCGUGUGUGAAGAAGGUCUUCGGAUUGUAAAGCACUUUAAGUUGGGAGGAAGGGCAGUAAGUUAAUACCUUGCUGUUUUGACGUUACCGACAGAAUAAGCACCGGCUAACUUCGUGCCAGCAGCCGCGGUAAUACGAAGGGUGCAAGCGUUAAUCGGAAUUACUGGGCGUAAAGCGCGCGUAGGUGGUUCAGCAAGUUGGAGGUGAAAUCCCCGGGCUCAACCUGGGAACUGCCUCCAAAACUACUGGGCUAGAGUACGGUAGAGGGUAGUGGAAUUUCCUGUGUAGCGGUGAAAUGCGUAGAUAUAGGAAGGAACACCAGUGGCGAAGGCGACUACCUGGACUGAUACUGACACUGAGGUGCGAAAGCGUGGGGAGCAAACAGGAUUAGAUACCCCUGUAGUCC